rnacentral:rRNA from 1 species
AUUGAACGCUGGCGACAUGCCUUACACAUGCAAGUCGAACGGCAGCACGGGUGCUUGCACCUGGUGGCGAGUGGCGAACGGGUGAGUAAUACAUCGGAACAUGUCCUGUAGUGGGGGAUAGCCCGGCGAAAGCCGGAUUAAUACCGCAUACGAUCUAUGGAUGAAAGCGGGGGACCUUCGGGCCUCGCGCUAUAGGGUUGGCCGAUGGCUGAUUAGCUAGUUGGUGGGGUAAAGGCCUACCAAGGCGACGAUCAGUAGCUGGUCUGAGAGGACGACCAGCCACACUGGGACUGAGACACGGCCCAGACUCCUACGGGAGGCAGCAGUGGGGAAUUUUGGACAAUGGGCGAAAGCCUGAUCCAGCAAUGCCGCGUGUGUGAAGAAGGCCUUCGGGUUGUAAAGCACUUUUGUCCGGAAAGAAAUCCUUGGCCCUAAUACGGUCGGGGGAUGACGGUACCGGAAGAAUAAGCACCGGCUAACUACGUG